AGCAGCCGCGGUAAUUCCAGCUCCAAUAGCGUAUAUUAAAGUUGUUGCAGUUAAAAAGCUCGUAGUUGAACCUCGGGGUUCACCCAUUGGUCAGGCUUAAUUGUCUGUACUGGUGAGAUGAAUCUCUACCUUCUGAGGAACUUUCAUGCCAUUUAUUUGGUGUGAUGGGAAAUCAGGACUGUUACUUUGAAAAAUUAGAGUGUUUAAAGCAGGCUAACGUCUGAAUACAUUAGCAUGGAAUAAUGAAAUAGGACGGAUUGAUUCUAUUUCGUUGGUUUCUAGGGUCACCGUAAUGAUUAAUAGGGAUAGUUGGGGGCAUUAGUAUUCAAUUGUCAGAGGUGAAAUUCUUGGA
rnacentral:misc_RNA from 1 species